AUACUUACCUGGCGUAGAGGUUAACCGUGAUCAUGAAGGCGGUUCCUCCGGAGUGAGGCUUGGCCAUUGCACCUAGCUGAGUGACCUCUGCGAUCUUAUUCACUAAGUCGUAAUAACUCGUGCGGUAGUAAUUUUUGGUAGCCGGGAAGAGCGUUCGCGCCGUCCCGA